CCCUAACCGUGCAAAGGUAGAUAAUCAAUUGUCCCUUAAAUUUGGACUAGUAUGAACGGCACCACGAGGGUUUAACUGUCUCCCUCCUUCAAUCAAUGAAAUUAAUCUUCCUGUGAAAAAGCAGGAAUAAAAUUAUAAGACGAAAAGACCCUAUGGAGCUUUAAACUUAUUACCACUUAUUUAGUUACAUAACAAUUUAAAUAAUAAGACUGUUCUUUGAUAGUUUUCGGUUGGGGCGACCCUGGAGAAAAAUAAAUCCUCCAGAUUGAAAAAUAACCCUUAUAUAAGAACCACAAUUCAAAUAAACAAAAAUUUGACAAAACUGACCCAGAAUAACUGAUCAGUGAACCAAGUUACCCUAGGGAUAACAGCGCUAUCCAUUUUGAGAGUCCGUAUUGACAAAUGGGUUUACGACCUCGAUGUUGGAUCGGGGUAUCCCAGCAGCGCAGCAGUUGCUAAUGGUUCGUUUGUUCAACGACUAACACCCCACGUGAUCU
rnacentral:rRNA from 1 species